CGCGGUUAUACCAAGUGAUUAAGUUAUAUUUUUAGGUAAAAAGACAGUUAGGUUUAAAUACUUGAAAUUUAGUUUAUUAAACAUCUAUAAAAAAGUAAAAUUUGCAUAUAGAUAGCUAAUUUAAAAAUGACUAAGAAUUACAAAUGCUGAAGCUGUGAUAGUCUUGAGGGAAACUGGGAUUAGAUACCCCAUUAUUCUUGAUUGUAAAUAUAAUUAAAUUUACCAGAGUACUAUGAAUAGUUAAAAAUUUAAAACUCAAAGGGCUUGGCGGUGUUUUAGACCUAUCAGGGGAACCUGUCUCAUAAUCGACAAUCCACGUAAUAUCUAACCUUAUUUUGUAAUCAGUUUGUAUACCGUCGUCGUCAGGUAACUUUUAAAAACAUAGAAGUUAGCAAUUAAAAUUAACAUAAAUUAAAACGUCAGAUCAAGGUGCAGCCUAUAAUAAGGAGAGGAUGGGUUACAAUUAUAAAAAUUAUAAUUACGGAAAUUUAAAUGAAAUAAUUAUUUCGAAGGAGGACUUGAAAGUAAACUAAAAUAUAUAAAUAGUUUGAAUAAGGCUCUG
rnacentral:rRNA from 1 species